AGUGAACGCUGGCGGUAGGCCUAACACAUGCAGGUCGAACGGCAGCACAGUAAGAGCUUGCUCUUACGGGUGGCGAAUGGCGGACGGGUGAGGAAUACAUCGGAAUCUACUUUUUCGUGGGGGAUAACGUAGGGAAACUUACGCUAAUACCGCAUACGACCUACGGGUGAAAGCAGGGGAUCUUCGGACCUUGCGCGAUUGAAUGAGCCGAUGUCGGAUUAGCUAGUUGGCGGGGUAAAGGCCCACCAAGGCGACGAUCCGUAGCUGGUCUGAGAGGAUGAUCAGCCACACUGGAACUGAGACACGGUCCAGACUCCUACGGGAGGCAGCAGUGGGGAAUAUUGGACAAUGGGCGCAAGCCUGAUCCAGCCAUACCGCGUGGGUGAAGAAGGCCUUCGGGUUGUAAAGCCCUUUUGUUGGGAAAGAAAAGCAGCAGGUUAAUACCCCGCUGUUCUGACGGUACCCAAAGAAUAAGCACCGGCUAACUUCGU
rnacentral:rRNA from 1 species